rnacentral:piRNA from 1 species
UUAAAAAAAUUUCAACCUAGCUGGGCAG